GUCCACGCUGUAAACGAUGGGCACUAGAUGCUGCGGGUAUUGACCCCUGCGGUGUCGUAGUUAACGCGUUAAGUGCCCCGCCUGGGGAGUACGGUCGCAAGAUUAAAACUCAAAGGAAUUGACGGGGGCCCGCACAAGCGGUGGAGCAUGUGGUUUAAUUCGACGCAACGCGAAGAACCUUACCUGGGUUAGACAACAGUGGACAUCCUCAGAGAUGAGGCUUUCCCUUCGGGGACCGCUGGUUCAGGUGCUGCAUGGCUGUCGU
rnacentral:rRNA from 1 species